UGUGGGGUGGAGCAGUGGUUAGCUUGUUGGGCUCAUAACCCAAAGGUCGCGGGUUCAAGUCCCGCCCCCGCAA
rnacentral:tRNA from 1 species